GUCAGGAUAGCUCAGUUGGUUGAGCAAAGGAUCCACAAUCCUCUGGUCACUAGUUCGAAUCUGGUUCCUGGCA
rnacentral:tRNA from 1 species